UACGGGGGGAGCAAGCGUUGUUCGGAUUUACUGGGCGUAAAGGGCGCGUAGGCGGCGCAACAAGUCACUUGUGAAAUCUCCGGGCUUAACCCGGAGCGGCCAAGUGAUACUGUCGUGCUAGAGUGCGGAAGGGGCUACCGGAAUUCUCGGUGUAGCGGUGAAAUGCGUAGAUAUCGAGAGGAACACCUGCGGCGAAGGCGGGUAGCUGGGCCGACACUGACGCUGAUGCGCGAAAGCCAGGGGAGCGAACGGG
rnacentral:rRNA from 1 species